UUAAUUGAAACCAAAAAAGAGGUAAAUCACUGUUAAUGAUUCUAUUGGAUUAAAAUCCCAAUUAAA
rnacentral:tRNA from 1 species